AAAAUAGCAAAUAUACAAUCACUUUUGAUUGUAAGCCUGAUCUACAAUCCGGAGCAGAGGGUGGCGGUAAUGAACCAAUAAGCCGGAUGACGACCGCCAUAAAAGAAAGCGAAGAAGAAGAAGCGCCGGGCGGCGGCUAAAUAGUAGCUAUGCUAAGCUAGUUAGCAUAUUCGCUGCAGUAUUGCCAGCGAACGCAAAUUUAAAAAAUGUAGUCGGGGAAAAAAAGCUAGCAACACUUGAGUGUGGUAUUUAAACUUUACCAGCAGAAUGGAUGUAAGAUAGCUGGAUAAUGGCGGUAAAAUGGACUCACGGCGAGUUCUUGUUUCCUCUUCACCAACUCGGCGAGCUCCCGGCGGGUGUCCGGGAUCUGUGGUGGAGUCGCCUUCGCAUGCAUCGCCAUGAUCGAUGGAGCUAUCUGGAAACAAAACAGAGGCAGCGGGUUCAGUGUCAUAAAGCGGCCGAUGGAGCGCCAUGUUGCCGACAGAUGGCACCAGAGCACCGCGGAGCAUCGACCCGAGCUCUGUGUUUACAUCACCAAGGCAACAAUAUCUGCGUUUUUAAUGUGGCUUCAGAUUUACUGACCAACUGAACCAUGGGCAACAUGUACCGAGGAGGUAAUAAAACAGAUCAGAUUCCAGCUUACACCGUUUCAUCUUCAAUACCAACAAAAUACCAAAGAGUGGUGAUCACAAAUCAAGAGAAGAAAGGCUUUUCAUCUCAAGCUAGGAGGUUCCCUUUACAAGUCUGUCUGAGUGAAAACCCAGGACCAGGCAGCUAUGGCUUUAUUUCCAGCACUGAAGGCAACAGUCCUUCCUUCUCAAAGAAAGGCACCACAGGCUUUGUUGCCUCCAAGGCUUCCCGGGCUUCCAGUUACCCAAAGAGAGACAUCCCAGGACCAAAUGCAUACAACCUACCCAGCUCCUUCUUAGACAAGAAUAACUUCAACAUCGGAGUCUCCAGGGUGUUCAGGUUGCCUGUGGCUGUGCAGCUGGAUGGUCCAAAGCACCAAACUCCAGCCCCGAAUCAGUAUGAUAUCAGUUGUGUAACUAGACCGAGCGUCUCCUCAGUGGUUGGUACAUCAGCUUUCCUGUCAAAAACUGGACGCAGCUUUUUUUACCAGAAAAAACAUGUUCCAUCACCAUGCCACUAUGAGGUGAGCAGACCUUUAUCCCAGCACGGCUCAACGGCAGUCUUGUCCCCCUUCAAAUCAAAGACCCAGAGGAUCCCUGCUCCGAUGGACAACCAUGUACCAGGCCCAGGAGCCUACAGUCCCCAUCAGACCCCUGCACCGGUGAAGAGGACCCUGCUGCCGUGUGAGGGGAUGUUAUUUGACAAUAUCGGCGCCUCCUCUGAUUGUUCCGAAGGACCCUCCCUUGCCAGGCCCGGGGCAGUAUGACAUAGCGGAUUAUAACGGCCUGUCUAAGCAUCCCAUGCCCUCUGCUGCGUUUGCAUCCAGAACUGAAAGGAUACACAGAAACUCACGGGCAGAUGUGAACCCUGGUCCAGGUUUCUACGAUCCACAAAUUGUGCCAAAGCAGUCCUUCUUUUACAAUGACUCCAGAGUCUGGCUUCCUGCCUGAAGCUGUCGAGGAAACCUGCCCUGCAGAUAUGUACAUUUUUCACACACAUGAACUCUAAUUUUCUGUAUGAAAAUGCUUCUAUACAGGUGUGUGUCUGUGUUUAAAUGUACAUGGGCUCAUGCAUCUCUGAUUUAUUUCUAGAUCAGUAUUUGUAAAGGAAAAAAGGAUGAAAAUUAAACAUUUGCAAGCA